UUGCAUUGGUGUCUUAUUCAUUAGAACAAGUGUGUCUUUUUAUGUAUUCUUUACCACUAUUAAUUAGCUUUGAAUAAAUUAACAAGUUAUACUCGUCGUGUGUACGCCCGAGUCGUCAGCAGUAAAAUACCCGAGAGAUCGUCGUAACAGGAAGCGGAAGUGAAAAUGAGGAAGAUGAGACAAAAAUGGCGGCAAUAAUUUCAGGACCAGUGCUUGCUUCACUAUUUUAUGAUCAGUCUCGUUGUUCUGGUGAUCAGGAGGGACUUCUGAUUGGUAAAGUAAGCCACUCUGUGAAGGACACCAUCAGUGAUUCUCAGAUAAACAACUACAAGGUUGAAACAAAGCUUUACAUUUACUCUUGUCAUGAGCUGCAGAGGAGCACUGCUCUUUCCAGAAAAGAUCAGUUACAGAAAUGCAUCACAGAACAGAUAAAAAAGCAUGGAGAAAAGUGUAUUGUUGGAUGGUACCAUUCACGAAGGAACACAGCAGCCCGGCUUUCUAUGCGAGAGAGGAGUCUCCACCACACCAUGCUGAAGUCGCUACCAUCACAAGGCCGGGAGGACUUCUACUUUCUUUUGUGCACCUCCUCCAACACGCCAAACAGAUCCACACAUAAUUUUGAUUUUGGUUUCUACAAACUCAACAAAGAUGAUGCUGACUUUGUAAAAGUGCCAAUAACUGUUGUUAACUUGGAAGAUACCACCAAUAAUCAGUACAAACAUGACAGCAGUUGUACAGCAUCAGCAUCCUCGGGGAUCUAUGCCUCCGUCAUCUCACAGUUCCAGUCAGAAGUCUUGGACAAAUCAGGCCAAGUCCAGGAGGUGAAGAAGAUUAGUAGCCUUGGGUCAGCACUACAGGACAAGUUACGGCUAAGUAACACAAAGUCCAAGAGGUGAAGAAGAUUAGUAGCCUUGGAUCAGCACUACAGGACAAAUUACGGGUAAGUAACACCAGUCCAGGAGGUGAAGAAGAUUAGUAGCCUUGGGGCAGCA
rnacentral:misc_RNA from 1 species